rnacentral:rRNA from 1 species
GUCUAUGGCCACAACACCCUGAUCACACCCAAUCUCAUCUGCUCUCAGAAGCUAAAGAGAGUCAGGCCUGGUUAGUACUUGGGUGGGAGACCAUCUGGAAAUACUGGGUGCUGUAGACU